CCUGCCUCCCUCCGGACCUUCAAGUUGAGGCGCAGUUUCAUUGCAGUUAUCCUUCAGUAUGACAAUCAUUCAAGUUUACAUUCCUAUCACUGAUGCAGAAGAACAGAUGGCUGAUUAAUUUUAUGGUGAAGUUCAAUUUGAAAUCCAACAGAACAUGCAGUCUGUUUCAGAGGAAAAUCAUUGAGCUGCGGUGUUGGAGAAGGCUCCUGUGUAUUCCUUGGACCGCAAAAGUGACUAGCAAGCAAGUACUGGAGCGUAUAACACCAGACAUGUCACUUGAAGGCAAAAAUCACAAAACUGCAUCUCAAUUAAUUUUGGCCAUGUCAUGUGGGGGAAUUUAUUGGAGAAAGCAAUUAUGCUUGGAAGAGUUAGCAGUAAAAGGAAACUAGGCUGCCAAAGAACACAAUGGCUGGAUGCCAUCAAAGUGAAUACCAGCCAGGGCAUAGUAACAACUCAAAGAAGUAAAGUAGUGCAAGAUUGGAAGACAUGGAGAGACCCGGUCCAUAGAAUUGUCAAGAGUCGGACAUAACUGAAUGGAUAAUAUCAUCAUCAUGUUCAGUUUUACUUAUUCUACUGCAAGUACAUACGUAAUAUUGUAGAGCUGAUAGAGAAGGAUGCUUUUUUGGAACUAUUAGGAAAUAUUGCAAGAAACAUCUUUAAGACCCAACUAAUAAUAAAAAAUAACAAAAUUUCUUCAUUUCCUCCUAAGCUAGAUGGCAAAAUUGCAAUUCUUAUCUGUCAUUUAUUCAAGAAUUUAGAAAAUCUUGUCAAUUUUUAAUAUUUCUUUAUCUUCUAGAUCUGAUAUUUUGCACCUUAAUUUCAGGGUGACAAACCUCAGUCCUUAUAAAAAAUGAAAAUCUA